GACAAGCUGUGGGUUUCUGGCAUCAGCCUUGCGUCUGGAGGCAUGGCAGGUUUCCUGCCCAAUACCCACUGCUUCUAAGGCCUGCUGCCGCCACCCAGGCAUCUCUUGCUCUCUGCACACUGUCUUGGGACAGCCGGCUCUAGGAAUUCUCGCUAUGGCACUCGAUUCAGCCAGGAGACAGGUGAUGCAUAAUGCUGUCAGAAAGCAUGUGCUGGUGAAGAGAUACAUUGAGCCCUGCUUGGUCCAGUGAGGUUAUUAGUGAAUUGGGAGAGGCUCAAAUCAGCAUGCUGCACAUGGUUAUCAAACUAUUGUGAAAUUUUGACAGGUUCUUGCUAAGUUGCCAAGAGUCUUGCGAAGUUGCUCAGAUUGGCUUGAAACUUGUGAUCCUCCUGCUUCAGCCUCUGG